UAUCAAAAGCUCACUACGUCACUGAGUAGAUGUGCAUAUAUAAGCGAACACUGAUUCUACAGUUCUAGAUUUCAAGACAGGGAAACAAAAAAGCAUGAAGAUUCUGUGUAUUUUGUUGGUUACUUUGGUGGCUGUCAGCCAGGCACGGACGUUGGAAGACAGAUCUUUAAGUAGUUCUAUACAACAGGUCACCCAUUUCUUACACAGUGCUAUGAGUGUUGUGGGGCGUGGAUGUGAAGCUGUAACUAAAUACGUCACUGGGCCAGUAUGUACCGCUAUGGGUAUCGUACCUAAAGGUAUGGAAUUGGAAGCUUGUGGCGUUUUCACUGUCGGGUAUGAAGUUUGUCUUGGAAUCGUAGAAGGUACAAGAACCUACUGCAGUACCUUCGGCUUCUCUCUUCCUGGUGGCCCUGCUGCUGAUGCCAUCAUAUGCAAGGCCGUCCAUGCUGCUGGCAAAAAAUAAAAUGCUUUUGUAAAUAUUGAUGUCAAAUAAAAAACAAAC